rnacentral:rRNA from 1 species
GGGCCCGCACAAGCGGAGGAACAUGUGGUUUAAUUCGAUGAUACGCGAGGAACCUUACCCGGGCUUGAAAUGCAAUCGACGGUAUUGGAAACAUUACUUCCAGCAAUGGCGAUUGUGUAGGUGCUGCAUGGUUGUCGUCAGCUCGUGCCGUGAGGUGUCGGCUUAAGUGCCAUAACGAGCGCAACCCUUAUCAUUAGUUGCCAUCGGGUUAUGCCGGGAACUCUAAUGAGACUGCCACCGUAAGGUGUGAGGAAGGUGGGGAUGACGUCAAAUCAGCACGGCCCUUACGUCCGGGGCGACACACGUGUUACAAUGGGGGGUACAGCGGGCAGCUACCUGGCGACAGGAUGCUAAUCUCUGAAAGCCUCUCUCAGUUCGGAUCGGAGUCUGCAACUCGACUCCGUGAAGCUGGAUUCGCUAGUAAUCGCGCAUCAGCCAUGGCGCGGUGAAUACGUUCCCGGGCCUU